rnacentral:rRNA from 1 species
GUAGUCUCGCACAGAUGCAUAUCAAUAAGCGGAGGAAAAGAGACUAACAAGGAUUCCCCUAGUAACGGCGAGUGAAGCGGGAAGAGCUCAAAUUUGAAAUCUUAAAGGGUUUCCCUUUACGAAUUGUAGUUUAAAGAAGUGUUUUCUGUUGAGGUUUUGGUAAAAGUUCUUUGGAAUAGGACAUCAUAGAGGGUGAGAAUCCCGUAUUUGACCUUUACUUUCAACUUUGUGAUACACUUUCAAAGAGUCGGAUUGUUUGGGAAUGCAGUCCAAAAUGGGUGGUAAAUUUCAUCUAAAGCUAAAUAUUGGCGAGAGACCGAUAGCGAACAAGUACCGUGAGGGAAAGAUGAAAAGAACUUUGAAAAGAGAGUUAAACAGUACGUGAAAUUGUCAAAAGGGAAGCGUUUGACACCAGUGUUGUUUUUCUGAAAAUCAAUUAAAGAACUGUUUAUGCUAAGCUGUUUAGACUUUAUCAGCUAUCUGUUUAGUUUUGAGCUUUUCUUUAAUGCACUUUUCAGUUAACAAGUCAACAUCAAUUUCUUUUGCUGUAAAAUAGCUUGAGGAAGGUGGCUUGAGAUUCGUCUUAAGUGUUUAUAGCCUCUUGCCUAUGCAGUCGGAGAGAUUGAGGUCUGCAGCGUAGAUCCUUCGGGGCUAAAUGCAUUUGUGCUAAGUUAUAGCAUUUUAUAGACAACUUGUUGACUAUGAUUUGUCUUGUAGCUUACUCGCUUAUGUUAUUUUACCUACGCUUAGGAUGUUGAAGACUCUACAGAGAUA